GUGGUAUUAGCUCAGUUGGUAGAGCAUCGGGUUGUGGUCCCGAGGGUCAUGGGUUCGAGCCCCAUAUACCACCCCA
rnacentral:tRNA from 1 species